UAGCUUGCUAGAUUGAUGGCGAGUGGCGAACGGGUGAGUAAUACAUCGGAACGUGCCCUGUAGUGGGGGAUAACUAGUCGAAAGAUUAGCUAAUACCGCAUACGACCUGAGGGUGAAAGUGGGGGACCGCAAGGCCUCAUGCUAUAGGAGCGGCCGAUGUCUGAUUAGCUAGUUGGUGGGGUAAAGGCCCACCAAGGCGACGAUCAGUAGCUGGUCUGAGAGGACGAUCAGCCACACUGGGACUGAGACACGGCCCAGACUCCUACGGGAGGCAGCAGUGGGGAAUUUUGGACAAUGGGCGAAAGCCUGAUCCAGCAAUGCCGCGUGUGUGAAGAAGGCCUUCGGGUUGUAAAGCACUUUUGUCCGGAAAGAAAUGGCUCUGGUUAAUACCUGGGGUCGAUGACGGUACCGGAAGAAUAAGGACCGGCUAACUACGUGCCAGCAGCCGCGGUAAUACGUAGGGUCCAAGCGUUAAUCGGAAUUACUGGGCGUAAAGCGUGCGCAGGCGGUUGUGCAAGACCGAUGUGAAAUCCCCGAGCUUAACUUGGGAAUUGCAUUGGUGACUGCACGGCUAGAGUGUGUCAGAGGGGGGUAGAAUUCCACGUGUAGCAGUGAAAUGCGUAGAGAUGUGGAGGAAUACCGAUGGCGAAGGCAGCCCCCUGGGAUAACACUGACGCUCAUGCACGAAAGCGUGGGGAGCAAACAGGAUUAGAUACCCUGGUAGUCCGCGCCCUAAACGAUGUCAACUAGUUGUUGGGGAUUCAUUUCCUUAGUAACGUAGCUAACGCGUGAAGUUGACCGCCUGGGGAGUACGGUCGCAAGAUUAAAACUCAAAGGAAUUGACGGGGACCCGCACAAGCGGUGGAUGAUGUGGAUUAAUUCGAUGCAACGCGAAAAACCUUACCUACCCUUGACAUGCCACUAACGAAGCAGAGAUGCAUUAGGUGCUCGAAAGAGAAAGUGGACACAGGUGCUGCAUGGCUGUCGUCAGCUCGUGUCGUGAGAUGUUGGGUUAAGUCCCGCAACGAGCGCAACCCUUGUCUCUAGUUGCUACGAAAGGGCACUCUAGAGAGACUGCCGGUGACAAACCGGAGGAAGGUGGGGAUGACGUCAAGUCCUCAUGGCCCUUAUGGGUAGGGCUUCACACGUCAUACAAUGGUGCAUACAGAGGGUUGCCAAGCCGCGAGGUGGAGCUAAUCCCAGAAAAUGCAUCGUAGUCCGGAUCGUAGUCUGCAACUCGACUACGUGAAGCUGGAAUCGCUAGUAAUCGCGGAUCAGCAUGCCGCGGUGAAUACGUUCNCCGGGUCUUGUACACACCGCCCGUCACACCAUGGGAGUGGGCUUUACCAGAAGUAGUUAGCCUAAC
rnacentral:rRNA from 1 species